UUUAGAUAAUAGCAAACUAGUUGAAAGGCAAGGAUACAAAGCAAUGAGACUAAGGGAAAACACUUUUCUAUGAUUGCCAGGCUGCUAAA
rnacentral:ncRNA from 1 species